CCUUGACAAUCACAUGGUGUGAUUGACUUCAGCCAAGACAAGGAGGUUUACAUG
rnacentral:ncRNA from 1 species